GUAAAUAGCUACAAAAAAAUAACAAAAAUGACAACAUAAGAUUUUAGAAUUAAAACAAAUAUUAACAAACCAAUUGUGCAAAUACAUAUUCAAAAAGUUAGUAAUCAUAUUAAAAGAUUAAAAUAAUACGAUACUUAACAUUGGAACGCAGCUAGACAGUGAGUGGUUUUCGAAAACGUCAAAACUCAAACGAAAUUCCAGCACAAAGUACACGUACAAAGAAUAAUUUCCUACCACUCAACUACAGCAAAGUGGUAGCAAGAGCAAAAACAGAUUCCCAUUUACAGACGUUAUCGUUCUGCAUGAAUUGAUGCGCAGACAUUCCAACUGACAGUUUUCAGAGGACCUUCGCCGAAGUUGGAAGCAAUAAUUGAACAGUCUCUAAAGUCAGCUAUUUUCUUAAAAAAAGCUCCAUAUUGAGCCAGAAGUCAGCAUUGGCCAAAAGCAUAGCUAACAUUACAGUUCAGCAAUCCUAUAUACUAUAGUGCGCGUAUCUCCAACGUACUUGCAUGUAAUAUCGAUUAAAGUGUGCAAUUUUAUAAUAAUGAGUCUUCAUUGACACAUAUUAAGUAAUAAUCGCGAGUUUUCAAGUGUAACAUAUUUUACGUACAUAAUUCAUUACAGAAAAUCUAACAUAUUCGCAUAUCCAAAAAUUCAAAAUUUAUUGAUUUAAAAUUGGUCAUUGACAAAAAUCACACGGUCAAAUAAAUGCUAAUUUUAUCUUGCUCCCGUUCUCUGUAAAAAAAAAAUAAGCAAAAAUAUUGAAACUAAAGUGUUUUAAUAAAAUUAAAUACAAAAUAUCUUAACAUUGAAAAGUUCAUAUUGGCCAAAAAAGUAAAAAAAAAAAUUGAAAAAAGCAAAAAAUAAUCUGCAAAGUAGUCAACAGCCGUAGCAAUCGUAUAACUCAGUGUUCGUGUUUAAAGAACUCGUGAAAACGUGAGAGAUUCGUGGGAACUUUUUCUCCACGCGAACAAACAACCCCUGUUUUCUUAUUCGGGGCAUAUCUAUUGUACAUUCCACAAAAACGUUGUGACGCGCAUUUAAAACUCGCCACCCACUAACAAACCAACAAGCACAGCGGCACUUUAGUCUUGUCUUGCAGUGUGCUCGUUAUUCUGCUCUUCCACGCACUAGUUACUACCUUAAGACCAUAAUCGGUACGACGUCUACAAGUCUACUCUUGCAUUACAUACAUAUACAGUUACUUGGAGUCGAAAACACUCCCACCAAUACACACGUAUCAAUUGAUAUAGAAAAGCGCCAGCAAGUGCAUUGUUGGCAAAUAUAUUUUGCGUGAAGAAGAAUUUGUAAAAGCAAGAAACCAGUUAGUGGUCGAAAAUGUUCUCUGGCCUAACAAAUCAAUUCACUUCAUUGGUGGGCGCCGUCAAGGGCGGUCAAGCCGACGAAGAUGUGCCUGCACCUACCCAAGAUGCUGUUGCCGCUCCGGAAGUAUCCGCUGCUACAGCAGCACCAACACCAGCUGCAGGCGCCGAACAAGCAGCGAAUGCGGCUGGCGUCAGUGGGGAGCAGCCUGUUGAAGGUGAAGAGGGCGCUAAAAGCGGCGAAACCAUAGUUGAUCAUUUCCUCACCGAGGCCACUGGUUGGUUGGGAAGUGCCAAAGGCUGGUUAGGCAGUGCCAGCGCUUCAAUUCCAUCAAUGCCGGCAAUGCCUACCAUGUCUAUGCCAUCAAUGCCAGCUAUGCCAGCCAUGCCGUCGAUGCCCUCAAUUCCGGGGCUGCGCAAAGGUGGCGCCGAAGCUGGUGAGGGUGUCGCCGCAGAUGGCGCUGUCGCCGAGAGCGGAGAUCCCACAGGUGCCGUGAGUGGUGAAGAUGAUGACAAAUCGAGGUACAUUAGCGCUACAGAGGGUGCUGAUUCACACCCCGCUUCCGGCGGUGGCACCCCCACCGGUGAUGAGGGUCAAAUCGGACAGGGUAAGGGCGAAGAAGCGAACAUUACCACCAAAGUAACACAGCAGGCAAAACACUUCGGCUCAUUUUUGUCAUCGGCCAUAAAUAAGGCGGGCGCCAAAAUCAAGGAGACUGUCAAGGAGAAUCCCAUCCUCGAGUCAUUCAACAAAGAACAGGAAGCCUUUAUUAAAAGUCAAGGUGGCGCCGAUUCCGGUGUCGCACCAUGGAUUGGACAUACCAACGAGGCUAAGAUCAAGGAGGAAAUUCUCGGCCUCUCACAGGAUCGUCGCAAUUUCGUGCGCGCACCACCAGCCGGUGUUGAUUUUGACUUCAACUACGAUACAGCGUAUCCCACAGCUAUUGCCAUAAUGGCCGAGGAUAAAGCGCUGGAAACAAUGCGAUUCGAACUGGUGCCCAAAAUCAUCACCGAGGAGAAUUUCUGGCGGAAUUACUUCUAUCGCGUUUCACUAAUUAUUCAGGCAGCUGAAUUGGGUACACUUGGCGCUGAUGGCGUUGGUCAGGCCUCAAGCGGUGAAGACGUUAAAAAUACACAAACAGACAAGUCGCCAGCAAAAGCGGCUGCUCCUGCUGCCGGCGCAGAGCAAACAAGCGCAAGUGAUAAGGAUGCCAACACAUCGACACCGAUUUCGCCUAUAUUUCAGCAACCCAUUGGUGUGGGCUUAGAUAAGCCUGUGAGCCAAAAGUCACGGCACAGUGAAUCGGAGUUCGUUUCCGAUUCAUUUCACACAAAUACUGAAACUGAUUUGGAAGAAAUCAAGGAUGGCAUGCGCAAGUUGGGUAUUGAUAGUAUGACAGAGCAAGCGCUCGGCAGUGAUGAAGAUUGAAUGGAUUUACGCUAAAUUACUAUGUAUUUAAAGAGAAACAAAAAAGCAAAUGUACCAAAACUAACAAAAUUACAAAAGCAAGCAAAAACCAAAGUAUCACAUAAACUUUAUGUAAACAAACAAAAAUACCAAAAACAAAAAUCGCAUUGAUUAGAAAAGAAACCAAACUCCCUGAAACAAAGUAAUGCAAUGAAAUUAAUGCAAAAAAACUGCAAUCCAACAAAAAGCAAAGCAAAAAGUAUGUUUACCCAAUAUAGAUAAUACAAAAACAAACAAAAAAACAUAAAAAUGAAAAAUUUUAAAAAAAUUACUUAUAAAAAAUAUCAAAAGUCAAAAAACAUAACAAAAAGAUUUUGUGUGAAGAACAAUGGGAAAAAGAUCUGGAGGCUGAGUUAAAGGACUACGAAGUGGUAAGCGACACAACAGGCGGCACGACAACAGCUCACAGUCGUGACCGCGGUGGCGGCAGCGCCGACGCCGGCAAUACUGUUGAUCGCAAUGGCGAUGACGACGAAAUACCGACAAUAUCUAAUCUGCGCACACGUUCAACAAACAACGAUUGGGAGGAGUAUGCCGAUCUGAUCGAAGAUACCGAUGA
rnacentral:misc_RNA from 1 species